rnacentral:rRNA from 1 species
CCCUUAGACGUUCUGGGCCGCACGCGCGCUACACUGACCAGUGCAACAAGCAUCCGUCCUUGGCCGACAGGCUCGGGCAAUCUUUGAACGCUGGUCGUGAUGGGGAUAGACUUUUGCAAUUUUUGGUCUUCAACGAGGAAUUCCUAGUAAACGCAAGUCAUCAACUUGCAUUGAUUACGUCCCUGCCCUUUGUACACACCGCCCGUCGCACCUACCGAUUGAAUGGUCCGGUGAAGCCUCCGGAUUGGCGCGCACCUCGGUGCCGCCGAAAAGUUGGCUAAACCUUACCAUUUAGAGGAAGGUGAAGUCGUANCA